rnacentral:rRNA from 1 species
CCUACGGGAGGCAGCAGUGGGGAAUAUUGCGCAAUGGGCGAAAGCCUGACGCAGCGACGCCGCGUGAGGGAUGAAGGUCUUCGGAUCGUAAACCUCUGUCAGCAGGGAAGAACGGUCACUGUGCUAAUCAGCAGUGAAUUGACGGUACCUGCAAAGGAAGCACCGGCUAACUCCGUGCCAGCAGCCGCGGUAAUACGGAGGGUGCGAGCGUUAAUCGGAAUUACUGGGCGUAAAGCGUUCGUAGGCGGUAUGUCAAGUCAAGGGUGAAAUCCCCGCGCUCAACGUGGGAACUGCCUUUGAAACUGGCAAACUGGAGUGUGUGAGAGGAUAGUGGAAUGCCAGGUGUAGGAGUGAAAUGCGUAGAUAUCUGGAGGAACAUCAGUGGCGAAGGCGACUAUCUGGCACAUAACUGACGCUGAGGAGCGAAAGCGUGGGUAGCAAACAGGAUUAGAUACCCGGGUAGUC